rnacentral:sRNA from 1 species
GUGAAAUAGGGAUAGAAGCGGCAUCCUUUUUGUUCCUGGUCGAGACGUAGUUGACCAAGAACAAAAAGAUAAAGCGGAUAGCCCGGACCUUU